rnacentral:tRNA from 1 species
GAGGGUAAAACUCAGUGGUGGAGCAUUUGCUUAGAAUGUAGGAGGUCCUGGGUUCAAUCCCCAGGACCUCCA